AUUGAACGCUGGCGGCAGGCCUAACACAUGCAAGUCGAGCGGAGCGGCGGACGGGUGAGUACUGCCUAGGAAUCUGCCUGGUAGUGUGGGAUCACGUCCUGAAACGGGCGCUAAUACCGCAUACUAUCAGAUGAGCCUAGGUCGGAUUAGCUAGUUGGUGGGGUAAAGGCCUACCAAGGCGACGAUCCGUAGCGGGUCUGAGAGGAUGAUCCGCCACACUGGGAGUGAGACACGGCCCGGACUCCUACGGGAGGCAGCAGUGGGGAAUAUUGGGCAAUGGGGGAAACCCUGACGCAGCCAUGCCGCGUGAAUGAAGAAGGCCUUCGGGUUGUAAAGUGCUUUAGGUGAGGAGGCGUUAAUAACAGAAGAAACACCGGCUAACUCCGUGCCAGCAGCCGCGGUAAUAC
rnacentral:rRNA from 1 species